rnacentral:lncRNA from 1 species
UUUUAUUAUUCAGGAUAUUGCCAGAGUCUGGCCUGGAACUAAAAUGCCCGGGCAAAUGGGAAACCAAAACAGGACAGUGUAUGGGCUGAAGGUGUGGAGAGUGAACACCAAGCACAAUAUAAUCUAUGUCAAUGGCUCUGUGCCUGGACAUAGAAAUUGCUUAGUGAAGAUCAAGGACUCUACGCUGCCUGCAUACAAGGAUCUCUGUAAGAGCCUGCCGUUCCCUACCUACUUUCCUGAUGGAGACGAAGAAGAACUUCCAGAAGAUCUGUACGAUGAGAGCGUGUGGCAGCCCAGCGAACCUUCCAUCACCUUUGCCUGAUGCGCUGGUGCUGCAGGCCUCUGUGCUCCGCGUACU